rnacentral:tRNA from 1 species
AGUUAAUGAACUUGUUAUAAGUAUAUAUUUUGAAAAUAUAAAAAAGAGUUAAAAUUCUCUAUUAACUU